rnacentral:rRNA from 1 species
UACGUAGGGACCAAGCGUUGUUCGGAUUUACUGGGCGUAAAGGGCGCGUAGGCGGCAAUUCAAGUCAUCUGUGAAAUCUCCGAGCUUAACUUGGAAACUGCCAUUGACACUAUCAGUCUUGAAUAUUGUGGAGGUCAGCGGAAUAUGUCAUGUAGCGGUGAAAUGCUUAGAUAUGACAUAGAACACCAAUUGCGAAGGCAGCUGGCUACACAUAUAUUGACACUGAGGCACGAAAGCGUGGGGAUCAAACAGG